GCUCUGAGUCGGAUCUGCGGGAGCACGUGUCAGUCCCGCGCCCGCCCAGGGAGAGCGCAGGCUCUGAGUCGGAUCUGCGGGAGCACGUGUCAGCUCCCCUAGUCUCUCUGAGCCUCACUCCCUUGCCUGUGAACAGGGGGUCAUAGCAGCAUCUGCCUUAUUCUGAGGAGAGAGUGAUUCACGCAUCAAGCUCAUGCCUGCACUGCAGCAGGUGUUCAGCUAACCGUGCCGCCGCGUAUCAUCAGCCUAAGGCCCGCGCAUCUCACCACCGCCCUACCCGCCCGGCGCGUCUCCAGCUGCGCCUCCUCCCCCUGGGAGGCGAAUGUUGCCAGAAGCCUCAGCACGCGCUGAGCCCUGGCCCCUUCUUUCUCUCAUUCUUGCACCCGUUGUCUGGUGGGUGCCUGUCACAUGCCAGGUGCAGCUCCAAGUGUCAGCGCACGGUGACAUGAGGAUAAGGGUCCCAGCCUCCUGGAGCUGACGUUCCAGUCGGGGAAGCGGACAGCUUAGCAGCAAGCACAUGACCACGCCAGCUCAGCCUAAGCAGUGCCCUUUUAAGCAUUCAACAAACGUCUGAAAUGUAUAUUGCGAGCUGAACACCUAGCUGGGCACAGCACGGGCGAGACACUUGGGUGCCCUGGAGGCUUCCCUGCCUCGGCUCUCCCCCUCUGUCAUGGGCAGGCUGGACUGGGGGCCAGGUUCAUCCACCUGCGAGACACCUCUCUUCUAGAGUUCUGAUGAGGCUGGAGAAGUCUCAACUACCUCGGCAUCUGCGGGAGUAUGGAGAAGCCAUGCAGUCCAGAGGAAAGGGUGUGGGCUCUGGAGGCAGAUCACUGGCCAGCUCUACGACCUG